rnacentral:rRNA from 1 species
CGAACGCUGGCGGCGUGCUUAACACAUGCAAGUCGAACGGAAAGGCCCUGCUUUUGUGGGGUGCUCGAGUGGCGAACGGGUGAGUAACACGUGAGUAACCUGCCCUUGACUUUGGGAUAACUUCAGGAAACUGGGGCUAAUACCGGAUAGGAGCUCCUGCUGCAUGGUGGGGGUUGGAAAGUUUCGGCGGUUGGGGAUGGACUCGCGGCUUAUCAGCUUGUUGGUGGGGUAGUGGCUUACCAAGGCUUUGACGGGUAGCCGGCCUGAGAGGGUGACCGGCCACAUUGGGACUGAGAUACGGCCCAGACUCCUACGGGAGGCAGCAGUGGGGAAUAUUGCACAAUGGGCGGAAGCCUGAUGCAGCAACGCCGCGUGCGGGAUGACGGCCUUCGGGUUGUAAACCGCUUUCGCCUGUGACGAAGCGUGAGUGACGGUAAUGGGUAAAGAAGCACCGGCUAACUACGUGCCAGCAGCCGCGGUGAUACGUAGGGUGCGAGCGUUGUCCGGAUUUAUUGGGCGUAAAGGGCUCGUAGGUGGUUGAUCGCGUCGGAAGUGUAAUCUUGGGGCUUAACCCUGAGCGUGCUUUCGAUACGGGUUGACUUGAGGAAGGUAGGGGAGAAUGGAAUUCCUGGUGGAGCGGUGGAAUGCGCAGAUAUCAGGAGGAACACCAGUGGCGAAGGCGGUUCUCUGGGCCUUUCCUGACGCUGAGGAGCGAAAGCGUGGGGAGCGAACAGGCUUAGAUACCCUGGUAGUCCACGCUGUAAACGGUGGGUACUAGGUGUGGGGUCCAUUCCACGGGUUCCGUGCCGUAGCUAACGCUUUAAGUACCCCGCCUGGGGAGUACGGCCGCAAGGCUAAAACUCAAAGGAAUUGACGGGGCCCCGCACAAGCGGCGGAGCAUGCGGAUUAAUUCGAUGCAACGCGUAGAACCUUACCUGGGUUUGACAUGGAUCGGGAGUGCUCAGAGAUGGGUGUGCCUCUUUUGGGGUCGGUUCACAGGUGGUGCAUGGCUGUCGUCAGCUCGUGUCGUGAGAUGUUGGGUUAAGUCCCGCAACGAGCGCAACCCUUGUUCACUGUUGCCAGCACGUUAUGGUGGGGACUCAGUGGAGACCGCCGGGGUCAACUCGGAGGAAGGUGGGGAUGACGUCAAGUCAUCAUGCCCCUUAUGUCCAGGGCUUCACGCAUGCUACAAUGGCUGGUACAGAGAGUGGCGAGCCUGUGAGGGUGAGCGAAUCUCGGAAAGCCGGUCUCAGUUCGGAUUGGGGUCUGCAACUCGACCUCAUGAAGUCGGAGUCGCUAGUAAUCGCAGAUCAGCAACGCUGCGGUGAAUACGUUCCCGGGGCUUGUACACACCGCCCGUCAAGUCAUGAAAGUUGGUAACACCCGAAGCCGGUGGCCUAACCGUUGUGGGGGAGCCGUCGAAGGUGGGACUGGUGAA